GGAUUAGAUACCCUGGUAGUCCACGCCGUAAACGAUGAGAACUAGAUGUCGGGAGGGAUUAGCCUCUCGGUGUCGCAGCUAACGCGUUAAGUUCUCCGCCUGGGGAGUACGGUGGCAACACUAAAACUCAAAGGAAUUGACGGGGACCCGCACAAGCGGUGGAGCAUGUGGUUUAAUUCGAUGCAACGCGAAGAACCUUACCUGCCCUUGACAUUGACAGAACCCUUUAGAGAUAGAGGGGUGCUUCGGCCUGGAAAACAGGUGCUGCAUGGCUGUCGUCAGCUCGUGCCG
rnacentral:rRNA from 1 species